AGGAUGAACGCUGGCGGCGUGCCUAAUACAUGCAAGUCGAGCGGCAGCGCAGGGUGCUUGCACCCUGGCGGCGAGCGGCGGACGGCUGAGUAACACGUGGGAACGCGCCCUUCGGUUCGGAAUAACUCAGGGAAACUUGAGCUAAUACCGGAUACGCCCUUACGGGGAAAGAUUUAUUGCCGAAGGAACGGCCCGCGUCCGAUUAGCUAGUUGGUGAGGUAAUGGCUCACCAAGGCGACGAUCGGUAGCUGGUCUGAGAGGAUGACCAGCAUCACUGGGACUGAGACACGGCCCAGACUCCUACGGGAGGCAGCAGUGGGGGAAUAUUGGACAAUGGGCGCAAGCCUGAUCCAGCCAUGCCGCGUGGAUGAUGAAGGCCUUAGGGUUGUAAAGUCCUUUUAACGGGGAAGAUAAUGACGGUACCCGUAGAAUAAGCCCCGGCUAACUUCGUGCCAGCAGCCGC
rnacentral:rRNA from 1 species